AUAUUUUAAUUAUUUCUGUUCCUCCAAAAAUGUGGAAAUCGCUGUUCUCAGCUGAAGUGUUCUUUGUAAAGGCGUUUUGAGUCUUGGUAUAUAUUAUAAUACGCGUCCUAUACUCAUAUUUUAUAUGAUUUUCUUCAAGGGACCGGAUGAUUAAAAUUUGCCAUUUAUUCGUGUUAUUCGUUACGGCUAACGUAAACACUCGUAAAUAAAAAAGUGACGAUAAGAAAACAAGAAAGUGUCUUUAUGGCUGAUAUUCUAACAUCUGGUACAGUAAUGAAUACUCACCAAAAUUGGUGUCAGUUAUCGAGAGCCUCCAUUUGGAGAUCAACCACAUUAUACUCGAAUUCGAACUAAACCACCACCAACCAAUGUUUUAUGGAAGCAUUGCACUUUGCAUAAGCCUACACUUAUCGUCAAAGACGCCAGUGAUACAGCGAGGAUGUCGAGAAAAACACGAAGCUUAUGGAGACAGUUUGAAAAAAACAACGCGUGUUUUGGAAAAGAACCAAAAAACGCUUAUCAGAUAUUUUCCGAGUGGUUUGUCGUUGCGGCUACGUCACCCGCCAUUAACAAUAAGGAGUUUUUCUUAUGCGGCGUUGCUUUUAUUAUAACUAUCGGAUGAUUCAAUGGCUUUUUUUCUAUGUUGUCUCAUAAGUAAUUAUACAUAUCAAUAAAUCGAUAUUUACUCGAUAUUUAUUAUUUAUAUCGA